UCAGCCUCAUCAGUAGAGAGACCGUCAGAGACCAUGUUUCAGCCUCAUCAGUAGAGAGACAGACCGUCAGAGACCAUGUUUCAGCCUCAUCAGUAGAGAGAGAGACCGUCAGAGACCAUGUUUCAGCCUCAUCAGUAGAGAGAGACCGUCAGAGACCAUGUUUCAGCCUCAUCAGUAGAGAUAGAGACCGCCAGAGACCAUGUUUCAGCCUCAUCAGUAGAGAGAGAGAGACCGUCAGAGACCAUGCAUGUUUCAGCCUCAUCAGUAGAGAGAGACCGUCAGAGACCAUGUUUCAGCCUCAUCAGUAGAGAGACAGACCGUCAGAGACCAUGUUUCAACCUCAUCAGUAGAGAGAGAGAGACCGUCAGAGACCAUGUUUCAGCCUCAUCAGUAGAGACAGACCGUCAGAGACCAUGUUUCAGCCUCAUCAGUAGAGAGAGAGACAGACCGUCAGAGACCAUGUUUCAGCCUCAUCAGUAGAGAGACCUAGACAGACCGUCAGAGACCAUGUUUCAGCCUCAUCAGUAGAGAGACCGUCAGAGACCAUGUUUCAGCCUCAUCAGUAGAGAGAGAGACCGUCAGAGACCAUGUUUCAGCCUCAUCAGUAGAGAGAGACCGUCAGAGACCAUGUUUCAGCCUCAUCAGUAGACAGACCGUCAGAGACCAUGUUUCAGCCUCAUCAGUAGAGAGAGAGAGACCGUCAGAGACCAUGUUUCAGCCUCAUCAGUAGAGAGAGAGACCGUCAGAGACCAUGUUUCAGCCUCAUCAGUAGAGAGAGACCGUCAGAGACCAUGUUUCAGCCUCAUCAGUAGAGAGACCGUCAGAGACCAUGUUUCAGCCUCAUCAGCAGAGAGAGAGACCGUCAGAGACCAUGUUUCAGCCUCAUCAGUAGAGAGAGACCGUCAGAGACCAUGUUUCAGCCUCAUCAGUAGAGAGAGAGACCGUCAGAGACCAUGUUUCAGCCUCAUCAGUAGAGAGACCAUCAGAGACCAUGUUUCAGCCUCAUUAGUAGAGAGAGAGACCGUCAGAGACCAUGUUUCAGCCUCAUCAGUAGACAGACCGUCAGAGACCAUGUUUAGGAUCAGGGUCUAUUCACACAGCGUCUCUCAGUAGGAGUGUAGGUAUUGAUACGUACAGACCCCUGAUCAGUAGGUAUUGAUACGUACGGCCCCCUGAUCAGUAGGUAUUGAUACGUACGGCCCCCUGAUCAGUAGGUAUUGAUACGUACAGCCCCCUGAUCAGUAGGUAUUGAUACGUACAGACCCCUGAUCAGUAGGUAUUGAUACGUACGGACCCCUGAUCAGUAGGUAUUGAUACAUACAGACCCCUGAUCAGUAGGUAUUGAUACGUACGGACCCCUGAUCAGUAGGUAUUGAUACGUACGGACCCCUGAUCAGUAGGUAUUGAUACGUACGGACCCCUGAUCAGUAGGUAUUGAUACGUACGGACCCCUGAUCAGUAGGUAUUGAUACGUACGGACCCCUGAUCAGUAGGUAUUGAUACGUACGGACCCCUGAUCAGUAGGUAUUGAUACGUACGGACCCCUGAUCAGUAGGUAUUGAUACGUACGGACCCCUGAUCAGUAGGUAUUGAUACGUACGGACCCCUGAUCAGUAGGUAUUGAUACGUACGGACCCCUGAUCAGUAGGUAUUGAUACGUACAGCCUCCUGAUCAGUAGGUAUUGAUACGUACGGCCCCCUGAUCAGUAGGUAUUGAUACGUACGGACCCCUGAUCAGUAGGUAUUGAUACGUACGGACCCCUGAUCAGUAGGUAUUGAUACGUACGGACCCCUGAUCAGUAGGUAUUGAUACGUACGGACCCCUGAUCAGUAGGUAUUGAUACGUACAGACCCCUGAUCAGUAGGUAUUGAUACGUACGGACCCCUGAUCAGUAGGUAUUGAUACGUACGGACC